UACAGAGGUCCCAAGCGUUGUUCGGAUUCACUGGGCGUAAAGGGUGCGUAGGUGGUGGGGUAAGUCGGAUGUGAAAUCUCCGAGCUCAACUCGGAAACUGCAUUGGAAACUACCCUGCUAGAGGGUCGGAGGGGGGACUGGAAUUCUCGGUGUAGCGGUGAAAUGCGUAGAUAUCGAGAGGAACACCUGCGGCGAAGGCGGGUUGCUGGGCUGACACUGACGCUGAAGUGCGAAAGCUAGGGGAGCGAACGGG
rnacentral:rRNA from 1 species